rnacentral:lncRNA from 1 species
AAAAAAGAGCUCAGAAGUCUGUCUAUCAACAGGUAACAUUGUGCCAGUGAUGAUCUAAGAUUCAGUACAGAACUGUGACCCCUAGGAGAAUAAAGAUAAGGAGAGCUCCACUAUAGCAACAGUGUGAUGCUGGGGAUCCUUGCCAGAUGACAGCACCAGAAGUGCAGAGACAUCUGAGUCAAGAAGAUAAAGCUGGAGCUCACUGUUGGCUACGUGGCUAGAACUGACAGAGUACAGAAAGGAGGGUGACAGAGACUUGCAAGGAGAGAAAUGCUUUCAAGUCUUGGGAGCUGAGCAUCUGAUGGCUUUGGUAUAUUUGGAACUCAUCCCUUAUUGACAUGGAUGGAUGACUAUACUCACAAAUACACAAUCCUCUCUUAACCGCUAGAAACCAUUUUGUUCUCUGAGCCUUUAUCCAGCAGCUGGUGGAAGUAGAUGCAGACACCCACAACUAAUCACCGAACUGAACUGGAACCCAGAUGUAGAGAAGGACGAGUGAAGAGCAAAGGGGUCCAGACCAAGCUGGUGAAACCCACAGAAACAGCUGACCUGAACAUCGGGGAACUCUUGCUCCCCAGACUGAUAGCUGGGAUACCAGCAUGGGACUGAUCCAGACCCCAGGAACAUGGGUUUCAGUGAGGAAACCUCAGAAAUCUAUGGGACCUCCUGUAGUAGUUCAGUGCUUAUACCUAGCAUAGGUGUGGACUUUGGAGCCCAUUCCAUAUAGAGGAGUACUCUGUCGUGACCCAGCGUGUCUCAGCCUUAAUCCAUGAGGUUCGGCCUGAGUGGGGGUGUGUGAACCUGGAAGCUCCUAGCAACCCAGCAGCAAUAAAGACUAAACACAGGCAGCUUGUCAUCUUUAGAGAGCUCUCAGUUCCAUGUUGUAGAACUAGAGUCAUUUCUUUAUUAGCCAUGUUUUUUGUUGUUUCUCUCUCCUCUAGUUGCUUGCCCCUAACUCCUGUCCUCCCUAGUCAUGUACACACCUGGCACCUAUGCCCAGGUGCAGGCCUAUUCAGAUGCUUAGGCCCACAGAGA